CGCUAUUCAUUAUUAUUCACAAAUCAAUAGUGUUUUGCUAAUUUUAUUUUUUUUUUGAAAUAUAGUGCUUUGCUUUUGCUGAAUAGUGUUCCAUUUGGCCAUUAGCUAAUUUUAUUCACUCCCUCACUUCUCUCUUCAUUUAAUUCUGGCUGCUCCAUAUUUUAGGCAGCUCAUCAAGUAUCCUCUUUCCCAUUUUACUCCUCAUUUCUCUACUUUUCCUCGAAUGGCGAAAUGGCAAUUUGCUUUUUUGCUGGUAUAAUUUCUCUUUUCCAAUCUUUUCCCUUUUCAUUUUAAUCUUCCUGAUUUCAAGUUUUUGGAUUUCUGAGGGAUGCAUUUAGUUUUUUUGGGAAUUAGGAUUUUCCCAUUUUGUUUAGGUUUAUCUUCAACUGAUCAGGUGAUAGGAUGCUGAGAGUUGGAGGAUUUUUGGCUCAUGGGUUUUUUGAUUUAUGGUUCAGCUAUGAUCUAGAAACCAGAAGAUUUUAGUUUCUGGAUUUGAAUGCAAGGUUUGCUUUUCCUCAUGAAGAUAUACAUUCUUUUACGCUAAUUGUUCUUUUUUGUUUUAUUUCUCUAUAUUUUAAUAUACUAACUCAUUGAUUGUAUAUCCAAGACAGAAGAGGAUUGAAAGAGGUAACGGGAAGCAAAAUCCCUUCGAUCCCUUCAACUGAUGAAUUAUCAGUAGAAUCGAGGAUGCAAAAUCGCAGAAAAACCCUAAAAACACCUCUCAUCCAUUGACGUUUCUUAAAAUUAUCAGUAGACGAUUAUCGACUGAUGAAUUCACCUUUUCCCCUCAGUCUACUUGUGCGACAGCGGAAGCAAAGCUCGAAUAUAAUAACGGAAAGCAAUAAAGAUUCAAACAAACAAUAAAGAAAAUCACACCGAGAAAUUUAACGUGGUUCACUAUCAAUCUACAUCCAUCAGCACUGAGAAUAAAGUUUCACUAUAAACUGGGAGAUUACAAGAUGAAUACGAGACACCACAACAAUAGCUUUUCAAGCUUUUCUCUCUUAGUUUCUCACUUUGUGUUUUGCAUCACAUCACAUAAUUCUAAUUACAUGGGCCUUUAUAUAGUAUACCUUAUAACAAAAAGAAAUUAGGGUUAAGAAAAUACAAAAGAAACCGUCAAAAACUAAGAGUAACCGGCCAAAAACGCGCCAAAACCAACUUCCUGCGAAAAUUUCGCAAUGCCCCGCGCCCCGCGUAGAACUCCGCGGCCCGUGCCCAACAAUCUGCCCAAGGCAGAACCUUUUCCGCGCCCCGCGUAAAACUCCGCAGCCCGCGCACAACCUUCUGCCUGGCGACCUGCUUUAUCCAUUUCCCAAAUCUUCAUCCCAUAUAAUGACUUGUUCGAGUCACUAUAUUUUAACACUACUCAUUAAAAGGUAUUAAUUCUUUGUUUUUGGUUCUGAAAUUUCUUUUUAUGGGGGAAUUUACUUAUUCUUGGUAUUCUUUUUCAGUGUGGCUUGAUUGGAUUAACUGCAGUAAUAGUUACAAUGAACUUGGAAGCUUCUCAGUAUCUUGAAGUUAGUUUUCGCUUAAUUUUGUUCAGUGAAAACUCUUGAUGAAAAUAAAAAGAUUUUUUAAUUUACUUAUUCUUGGUAUUUCUUUACUCUGUAUUGUUUUUUUUGUGAUUUUUAAGUUUGCUUUUUUGGGUUAUUUAUUGAAAUUUGAAUUUGUGAACUUGUUGGUAAUUGAGAAAUGGUAUCUUCUAAUCCGUACAUUUUCUUUAUCAGUUCUUCAAUCUCUAAGAUCAUUUGAACUUCCCAAGUUAAUUUUGCAGAUUCAGGUUGUUUUAACCCUCGAUCUUCAAUUUUGUUGGGGCUUCGUUUUCAUUGGUUAUUAUAAUAAGUUUUUAGUAUAUGUUGUAAAUAUAUGUUCUUUCUACGAAUUUUUCUGUGUUUUGUGAAUUUAUCAAGAAAAAGAAUAGAGAGGGUUGAUUUUUUUGUUUUUUGGGAAGUUAGUUAUUCUCCUUUUUGAAAAUUUUUAGGCGUUAUUAUAAUUAAUGCCUUUGGUUUGAUUGGAUGUUAGCUGAUAGAUGUCGGAUUAUUAGGACGAUCCUGAUAGAAAUGGUUCGUCUCCACAACCUCAAGGUCCUGACCAUGUUUGAUGAGGAUGAGAUUUACCAGAGCAAGAGAAAGACGUGACUGAAAACAGUAUAUACUGUGCGAGCGCGACAGCAACCUACCACAUAAUUCAUGGCAUCUUAUUUCUUACUCUUUUAUUUGCUUAAAUUGGCUGAUAAUCUUGUCAUAACGUACUUAUUGUAUUGAAUAUGUUUGAAGUUCUUUCCCACGCCAUACUUGGUUCCCUUCAAUAGUUUGGUAAAAUGAUUUGUCUAUAUAGUUUGAUUUAACAUGGAAUAGCCAAGUCUGAUCCCGUGAUCAUCAUUGAGUUUUUGAGUCUUUGGAACUUAGUUAAGUCUUUUAGAAAUUGUUUAUACUUUGUUUAUAUAGUUUAAUUUUACUUCAAUGAUUUUGUGUUCACUUGAUACCAAUGUUGUAAUUUUUUAUGCUUUUGGUUGAAUUUUACUUCAAUGAUUUGGUGUUCACUUGAUAUAUAAUAUAUGUGUGUGUAUGUAUGUAUGUCUAUAAAAAUCUUGAGAAAAACAGAAAAGCUGCAAUUUGGGUUGUGUUUUCGGACCCUGAGACUUCUCCGGGCUGGCAAAGCAGCACUGUUUUGUUAUCAAAACAGCCCUGUACAGAAAUGGAAUAUUGAGUUAAGCUUUGAUUAGUUUUCAUUUUAUUUGAAGUUAAAAGUUUUGGUUGGAAUGAUUCAAAUCAUGGUAACCUCUCUUAAGGAAAAAAUCUAAAGGAGAAUAAAAGUUACAGGCCGAAGACUUUUUGAUGAAAACCUACAAUAUACGAUUUGGAUUUGUAUUCUACAAUUUGUAUUUCAGACUCAAUUUUGCCGAUCAACAGAAGAUCUUUUGAAGUAAUGACCAUGGUUAUCAGAAUCUCGAUUCUGAUCUACGUUUCUACUACGAUUUAAAAAUAGGGGACCGAUCCGGAUCGUAGGUAGAAUCUUAAUGCGGUAGAAUCGUGCUAUCCUAUUAGCUCAAGAAUUUAGGUGGUUGGGUCAUAACACGAUCCUACGAUCCAAUGAUCCGAUCCUACUUCGCUAGUUUGAAUCGUAAAACAUCAUAUAAUAAAUAUUUCACUUACGUAUAAAUGUAUAUUUAAAAUAGUUAUAUUAAUACCUUUAUGAAAUUCAAAUUUUUCUUGAUUUGCAGUUUAAAAAUAAUCAUUAAAAGUAUUUUUUAUCAAAAUUUUAUUGAUGAAGUCAAAUAAGUUUCUAUUUACACCUUAAAACUUAAAAAGAGAACAAAUAUAAUUGGUAAUUUGUAAUCUAAAGCACAUUAAUGCAUAUUUGUAGGAUCACAUGAUCCUACGAUCCGAUUCUAUCGAUUUCAAUCUUAUCCCUUCAACGAUCCUAGGUAGAAUCCUGAUCUUAAUAGCUAUGGUAAUGACUACUAAAAUUUAUCAAAUUAAUCCUUAUCCUGAAUUGCAUGUAUUCUAGGAAUUAAUUUGGUUCAUGGUAUUGAGUUUAUGCUGUAGAAGUUAAUCAUUGCUACUUUAGUGGCUUGGUUUGAUUAGGUAGUCCUUUUUCAAUUAUCCUUUUGCUUUUAUUGAUUAUAGAUUAUUAACAUAACUUCAUGGGUGAUAAUUAUUUCAUCAAAAAGAUCGAGACAAUGCUCAAGAAGGAAGAAUAUUUGUCAUUUCUGGAAGGUUGACCUCGUUAAACUCUUGCUUGGAAGUUGAUAAAUGAACAACAUUGUUGGCAUGACGGACCCUUAGGUGACAUCUUCAAAUUCAGUGAAAGGAAUGCUGUUUUUGAAUUCGGAUGAUUUCUUCAAGCUACAUUUAAUAUUGUGACAAUCCUUCUGUAAACUAAUGAAGCUAGAAUAUCCGUUUCACCUCUAAAUGGAGCAAAUUCGAAUUGACCUUGCAUUGUCUUUUCGAAUUGACCUCAAUCUUUACACGAACAUACACUUACACGAACAUUCACCCUUGUUCUAGACAACUUCAAUUUGAAAUCCUUUCCAGAAUUUACUUCGGUUUGUUAUAAUACAUGUUGG